rnacentral:rRNA from 1 species
GACGUAGGGCGCGAGCGUUGUCCGGAUUUAUUGGGCGUAAAGAGCUCGUAGGCGGCUUGUUGCGUCAGCUGUGAAAACCCGCAGCUCAACUGUGGGUCUGCAGCUGAUACGGGCAGGCUUGAGUUCGGUAGGGGAGACUGGAAUUCUUGGUGUAGCAGUGAAAUGCGUAGAUAUCAAGAGGAACACCAGUGGCGAAGGCGAGUCCCUGGACAACUUCUGACGCUGAGGCACGAAAGCUAGGGGAGCAAACAGG